GAAUAUAAAAAAUCAGUGCUAUUGCUUUGGUCACCACUGUUUUGUAUGCAAGCAAAACUUCGGUUGAUUCACUGUGCCGCAUACACACGCACACACGCAAAGUUCACCCGCAUAUACACACCUAUACACAUGACGUUGAAGACGAAUCCAUUCUGGACACUCUUGUUGACCAGUUGGUCAGGCAAGCUGUCGAAUCCCACGUGACCGGACUGCUUCAGGGUGCGGAGGUGCACCUCCUUCUUGUCGACGAAAUCCACCUCAACGGACAUUUUCCAAUAGUCAAGUCAAAUAAUCCAAUAAUCCGGGCGCAGAGUUUGGAUCAAAGGCGUCGCCAGCGAAUAUGCAAGUGUGGCCAGAUACGCGGAGCCCAAAAUACCAGCGGCUCAAAGAAGUGUGUGGAUAUAGAUGAACAAGAAAAUUAUAACUUAACAAAGAAUUAAAAAACAAUUAUUUAAUGAAUUACAUGUGCCAUAAUGGCAAAUAGUGAAACGAAAUUGAUAAUCAAACAGUGAAAUGCACUUCAUGGAUUAAGAUUUUAGUACACAUC
ensembl:ncRNA asRNA:CR46044 antisense RNA:CR46044